rnacentral:rRNA from 1 species
AUGUGGAAGCAUAGUGAUAUGUGAAGCUGACCAAUACUAAUUGCUCGUGAGGCUUGACUAUACAACACCCA